AACUCUCAACGAUGGAUGCCUCGGCUCGAGAAUCGAUGAAGGACGCAGCGAAGCGCGAUAAGCACUGCGAUAUCAUGAAUCCUUCGAAUAUACCGGUAUACUCGACGCUGACCGAGUUGGCAGCUAUCGAAUACCCGAAAUAUAUCGAAAUGUCA
rnacentral:rRNA from 1 species